UACGUAGGCAGCAAGCGUUGUUCGGAGUUACUGGGCGUAAAGGGCGCGUAGGCGGCCAUUCAAGUCGGGGGUGAAAGCCUGUGGCUCAACCACAGAAUUGCCUUCGAUACUGUUUGGCUUGAGUAUGGUAGAGGUUGGUGGAACUGCGAGUGUAGAGGUGAAAUUCGUAGAUAUUCGCAAGAACACCGGUGGCGAAGGCGGCCAACUGGACCAUUACUGACGCUGAGGCGCGAAAGCGUGGGGAGCGAACAGG
rnacentral:rRNA from 1 species